GGAUAUGCUGUAGUUCAGUCUGACAAGUUCUGACUCCAGAUCAGAAGGCUGGGUGUUCGAGUCACUCCGGGGUCA